rnacentral:rRNA from 1 species
UGAUAGAACCUUAGAUCGGAGUGGGCUAGGAGAUCCGGUGAACCUACCUUGUACAGGUGCAGAUGAGGAACUCCCGGGGCCGGCCAUGGUGACGGUGGCCGGUGAUGGCAGGGAGUGGAUGGUGGCGGUGUGUGGGCAGUGGCGGCGGCGGAGCUUCCCGUCACUGUCAGCGCUAGACCUAGAUCGGGUCGGGGUUUUCGGUGGGGAGCCUGGCAACGUGGUGAACCUCGUACUGCGUGCCGCCGGCCCCCACCUCUUUAUGUAGCGCUGCGUGACAGGGGCCCGUCAACCAUAUUGUGGUUGGGCGCCCCCGAUCAGGGCGCGGAUCAGGGGUCCGUUGGGCCGUUGGGCCCACACGGGAGAGAUCAACCUAACA